CGCGUGAGGGAUGACGGUCCUAUGGAUUGUAAACCUCUUUUGUCAGGGAGCAAAGGGCGCCACGUGUGGCGCUUUGCGAGUACCUGAAGAAAAAGCAUCGGCUAACUCCGUGCCAGCAGCCGCGGUAAUACGGAGGAUGCGAGCGUUAUCCGGAUUUAUUGGGUUUAAAGGGUGCGCAGGCGGAAUGUCAAGUCAGCGGUAAAAUUUCGGGGCUCAACCCCGUCGUGCCGUUGAAACUGGCGUUCUUGAGUGAGCGAGAAGUAUGCGGAAUGCGUGGUGUAGCGGUGAAAUGCAUAGAUAUCACGCAGAACUCCGAUUGCGAAGGCAGCAUACCGGCGCUCAACUGACGCUCAUGCACGAAAGCGUGGGUAUCGAACAGGAUUAGAUACCCUGGUAGUCCACGCAGUAAACGAUGAAUACUAACUGUCCGGGCAGAAUGAUGCCUGG
rnacentral:rRNA from 1 species